AAGAGGAAGGCCAGCACUUGUGAGGAGACGCCCAGAAAAAUGCAGAAGAGCUCUGAGCUCAACCAGAGCUCCUGCAGCUCUUCAUCUUCACAAGGGAAGAAUGGAAGCACACUCCCUGAAGUGAUAACAAGUAGAGCUGAUUUUGAGGAGCGGUAUAUGCCAGAUCGGAGAAGAUGUCUGUGGACCUGUGUAUGCUGGUUUCCGAUCAAUUGAUUACACACCAGUAGCUAUUAAAUAUGUUAAAGGGCCACAUGUGGCAAUGUAUCAUAUGAAAUGAACG